AGAGCAGAAUACUGGCCUACCAGAUGUAGCAGGACAUGGAGCCACUUGGUAGCCAGGGAGUCUGGGAAAGGUUGAGCUGUUUUAAGAACAAAGGUUUAUGAGGGACACAGAGGAGGGACUGACUGAUGGCAGCUAGCCAUCCAUACAUUGCAGAGAAGAGCUGAUCGCCAGAGCAUCGACUAGAUCAACAAGCCAAAACUGGCCAAAGUGCAGACCAUCAUGCUUUAACCUGAGGGAGCCAAGAGUAAGAAUGGACUAAGCCAGUUAUAAAAUAGAGGGUAAAUGGUAAGACUGGUCUUAUCCCCCAGUUUUAGAUAAGCCUAAGAAGGAUGUUGAUAGGACGGACAUACUCUGGCCAAUCUUAUAUCU